CGCAUAUGAGUCUGUCCUUGUUGCACGCUGCUGCUCUCCUUGUCUACCGCGUUUAUAUCUCUGUCCUUGUCGCACGCCUGUGCUCUCCUUGUCUAAUGACGCUCAAUACGUAGACAGCAGAAAAAACAGAAUUUUCUACUUUUAGUAUCACCGAGGUAUCAAUAAAUGGCGCCACCGUUGCUUCCAAACAUUGACAGAACCCCAGCCAUGUAACCCCGUAAGAUGCAAGGUCUAUUCAUAUACUUCGUCUGUGGUGCAGUCAACAACCUUGGUUAGACAAAUACAUCUUUAUACAAAUACGUGCGCAGUGAUCUCAGCGCCAUACGGUGAAAUGUACAAUCACAAUCGAUAUAAUUUCUCGCAAUUGAUCUAAAAUAUUGGUAUAUAACGUUAGUUUUAAGCGGGAAGCCUAAGGAAGAUGAAGCAUCACUUAUAAAUUUUCAGCAUUUACACUGAUCGAAUCCCUUGUCGGCCAUUGUGAAAUCUACGUAUGUUUCAAAGUAAUGUAUGGUCGUAAUAACUUACACAGUUAAAAUAAUUGUUCUAAGUACUUAUCAAUGUAAUUAUAAUAGUCAUCUCUCUACAUUGAAACAUCAACUUGAAUCGAAACCAUUACGAAUCGAUAUCGUCAUGUAUGAGAAGAAGAUAAUAAGAGUCAAUGCUAUUAGUCAAUGGUGAGACAUGAAAAGACAUUGAAUGCUUGGACUAUUCUGUACUUUGCGGCAUCACUGCACUGUACUGCCAUCUGAAGGUAACUGGAGAAUGAACAUUGCAAUACUCGAAGCGGCCAAUGGAAAAGAACGGAAAUGUUUGAAAGAAGCCUUUAGAGUGUGUGGGCUGGCAGAUGGGAGUACCGGAAAGGCGGGUUCCACCGGAAGUCACGGAGGUUGAAACGUAACAUUACGAUCACGAGUAAAUCCUUCGAUUAUGCCUAACGUAAUCCUCAAUGAAUCGAUUUGCAUAAAAUAGAAGAAAAUCUAAAUCUUAAUUAUCAAGGUACAUUUAAUAUUCAUAACUUAGAACUUCCGUUUUCAUUCUUAAUGUUUUUCUUAAUUUAAUUUGCA